rnacentral:rRNA from 1 species
GUGUCAGCCGCCGCGGUAAGACGGAGGUGGCAAGCGUUGCUCGGAAUCACUGGGCAUAAAGGGCGCCUAGGCGGUGCGGCAAGUCGGCUGUGAAAGCCCUCGGCUCAACCGAGGAAGUGCAGCCGAAACUGCCGUGCUGGAGGACGAGAGGGGAGAGUGGAACUCCUGGUGGAGCGGUGAAAUGCGUAGAUAUCAGGAGGAACGCCGGUGGCGAAAGCGACUCUCUGGCUCGUUCCUGACGCUGACGCGCGAAAGCUAGGGGAGCGAACGGGAUUAGAAACCCGUGUAGUCC